GCCACAUGAUGAUAUCAAGGCUGUUGUGAUUCAGUUGGUUUGGCUAAGUCCAGGAAUCUUUGACCUAUUAAGGUCUGUAAUCUUGGUGGGUGGUACAGAAUUAUGUGCACUCAUUGUAAGGGCAGACCAACAAGAACAUUCUCCUACUUUUGAACCACCUCUCUUUAAUAGGGGUGAUUCUUCCAGUUGCCAGGGAGAAAUUGUGGUAACUGGAGUGAGAGUAGGAACAGGGUGUUUGAGGUAUUAGGGUCAGGGGUUUCAAAGGACUUAGCUAUGUUUUGACCACUGAGAGAUGAAACACAGAUCUUUGGUAAUCUGAUGGCU
ensembl:snoRNA SCARNA10 small Cajal body-specific RNA 10